UACGUAGGUGGCGAGCGUUGUCCGGAUUUACUGGGCGUAAAGGGAGCGUAGGCGGACUUUUAAGUGAGAUGUGAAAUACCCGAGCUCAACUUGGGUGCUGCAUUUCAAACUGGAAGUCUAGAGUGCAGGAGAGGAGAAUGGAAUUCCUAGUGUAGCGGUGAAAUGCGUAGAGAUUAGGAAGAACACCAGUGGCGAAGGCGAUUCUCUGGACUGUAACUGACGCUGAGGCUCGAAAGCGUGGGGAGCAAACAGGAUUAGAUACCCCCGUA
rnacentral:rRNA from 1 species